UACGAAGGGGGCUAGCGUUGUUCGGAAUUACUGGGCGUAAAGCGCGCGCAGGCGGUCCUUCAAGUCAGAGGUGAAAGCCCAGAGCUCAACUCUGGAACGGCCUUUGAGACUAGAGGACUUGGGUACGGGAGAGGUGAGUGGAAUUCCGAGUGUAGAGGUGAAAUUCGUAGAUAUUCGGAAGAACACCAGUGGCGAAGGCGGCUCACUGGCCCGUUACCGACGCUCAGGCGCGACAGCGCUGGGGAGGCAAACAGG
rnacentral:rRNA from 1 species